AGUGAACGCUGGCGGUAGGCCUAACACAUGCAAGUCGAACGGCAGCACAGUAAGAGCUUGCUCUUACGGGUGGCGAGUGGCGGACGGGUGAGGAAUACAUCGGAAUCUACUUUUUCGUGGGGGAUAACGUAGGGAAACUUACGCUAAUACCGCAUACGGCCUACGGGUGAAAGCAGGGGAUCUUCGGACCUUGCGCGAUUGAAUGAGCCGAUGUCGGAUUAGCUAGUUGGCGGGGUAAAGGCCCACCAAGGCGACGAUCCGUAGCUGGUCUGAGAGGAUGAUCAGCCACACUGGAACUGAGACACGGUCCAGACUCCUACGGGAGGCCGCAGUGGGGAAUAUUGGACAAUGGGCGCAAGCCUGAUCCAGCCAUACCGCGUGGGUGAAGAAGGCCUUCGGGUUGUAAAGCCCUUUUGUUGGGAAAGAAAAGCAGCAGGUUAAUACCCCGCUGUUCUGACGGUACCCAAAGAAUAAGCACCGGCUAACUUCGUG
rnacentral:rRNA from 1 species